GCCACCGUAGCUCAGUCUGGUAGAGCAGCUCAUUCGUAAUGAGCGGGUCGGAGGUUCGAGUCCUCUCGGUGGCU
rnacentral:tRNA from 1 species